UCCUGUGGUGCCCCCCCACCCAGUGGCAGUUCAUAUGCACCCCACGCCUUCAAUCGACUGGGCUCCUGGCCGAUAGAAGGAGAAUGGGCAGAGCUGGGCAAGCCAUUGAAGGAGGCAUUCAGUGGCUUAAGGUGCCAUCAGUAGCAACUUUGGCCAGGGUUGCUCAGCGGGUCCUCUGGAUGCUUCACGGCUCUCUGAUGCAGGGUACAACAGGUUCAUCCAUUUGUCUGAUCCAGAAAAUAUUGCCCUCAUCCUCAAUUUACUUAAUUUGUCCUCAGUGACAUGAUCAUGUAGCCAAAUCUGUGAUCUCAUCCUGCCCUCUACAUGAUCCUCAUGCUUGCCCAUUUAACUAUUCCAAGAAGAAGCAGAAAUUAGGGGAAGAAGCCAAACUGCAGCAGGAUUGUUCCACAAGGAGGUAUUGUAAUCAGGAAACGAACUACUGGACUCACUGUUAAUAAAGACUGGACACUGUGAUGCAUGUCAUUCUUCAGAUCUUCAGAUGCCAAAAGUCAUACUGUCAACAUGGAAUGUAUCGCUACAAAUACUACAAAGAAAAAUGGUUCUGGGAAAAGGCAGAGAACGAAACCUUGAAGUAAACAAUUGUUUAAAUUUUAAACUAAA